AACCCAUAAAGGAGAAAUAAACUUACAAACACCAUUCUUUUAAUUCACGAAACGACAAUAAGAAGAAAAGAAGACAUGUUCAGCUACUAUGACAAUUUUGCAUUUGUGAACAUUUUUUCUUUAAUAAUCAUUUUGAGACUUUUUGAACAACUGGCUGUAAUUACCUUUGAUAGUUAGAACCCAUGAGUGCAUACAUCAGCCGCGUCGCAAAGGGUAUUAGAAGUAUUGCACCAGGCAGUGCAUUUGAAAAUGGAUGAAUACCGAAGGAUCUCGACCCAACGUGCAGCUUUCCAACUCAAUCAAUCAUGCUUUUUGUGAAGCUUGAAGCCAAAAACUCUGGGAACAUAGCCUUGUGUGGCUUUUUGUGGCUUCAGGUGUCCGUAUGUCAUCAAAAACAAGUGCGGGAAUGUGGUUCCAAAAUACGCUCCAUCAAUAUUGCCUUGAUACUUUGAACGAGGGUAAUAUAUGUCUUCACAUUUUGGGCAAUAUAUCUUUACAGUGCUUGAACGAGGAAUAUCUGACUGCCCCACUGGAAGGCAUGGUUGUCCACAGCAGUACACUCUUGGGCACCUUCCAAAGUCAUAGUUUUUAUACUUCUCCAGCAUUGCAGAUAUUCCUUUGCCGGUUAGUAUGUAUCUGACAUGAAUAAGACCAUACAGCAUCUCAGCAGCUGACUCAACUAGUUCAUUCUGUUCUUCAGUGAACAUGUCACCAUGAGAAGAUUCAACAUCCAAAAUAAGAUCAAGUGCAUAGUCAUAGUACGGAACUUGACUGCUCAAGCCACAAAGAUUGAAAUCAUCUUGUAUAUACUCAUCGUCAACUUCACAAAAAA
rnacentral:misc_RNA from 1 species